UACGUAGGGUGCAAGCGUUGUCCGGAAUUAUUGGGCGUAAAGAGCUCGUAGGCGGUCUGUCGCGUCGAAUGUGAAAACCCGCAGCUCAACUGUGGGCUUGCAGCUGAUACGGGCAGGCUUGAGUUCGGUAGGGGAGACUGGAAUUCCUGGUGUAGCGGUGAAAUGCGCAGAUAUCAGGAGGAACACCGGUGGCGAAGGCGGGUCUCUGGGCCGAUACUGACGCUGAGGAGCGAAGGCAUGGGGAGCGAACAGG
rnacentral:rRNA from 1 species